AGUGAACGCUGGCGGCAGGCCUAAUACAUGCAAGUCGAACGGCAGCACAGCAGAGCUUGCUCUGUGGGUGGCGAGUGGCGGACGGGUGAGGAAUACAUGGGAAUCUGCCCAGUCGUGGGGGAUAACGUAUGGAAACGUACGCUAAUACCGCAUGCGCCCUAAGGGGGAAAGCCGGGGACCGCAAGGCCUGGCGCGAUUGGAUGAGCCCAUGUUCGAUUAGCUAGUUGGCGGGGUAAAGGCCCACCAAGGCGACGAUCGAUAGCUGGUCUGAGAGGAUGAUCAGCCACACUGGAACUGAGACACGGUCCAGACUCCUACGGGAGGCAGCAGUAGGGAAUAUUGGACAAUGGGGGCAACCCUGAUCCAGCCAUGCCGCGUGAGUGAAGAAGGCCCUCGGGUUGUAAAGCUCUUUUGUCCGGAAAGAAAAGCAAUCGGUUAAUACCCGGUUGUUCUGACGGUACCGGAAGAAUAAGCACCGGCUAACUCGUGCCAGC
rnacentral:rRNA from 1 species